ACUAUACAUAUACCAUUUUGUUUUUAGACGUGUGUUCAUAAUCAUGUUCAAGAAUUGAUGCACUGUAUAUUGAAAACUCAUUGCUCAUAGAUGUCCUGCUUUGUACAAUUACUGCAGAUCUGUUUGUUUUAAUGUUUAAUAUGCCUUGAGUGUAAAACCAAAGGCAACAUUUGAGUAUUUUGAAGGGGGGGGGGGUGAUGUGAGGGUGAGAAAAUCUAAUGGGAUAUUUUUCUGUUGAAAAGUUAAUGUACUGUAUAAUUUCUUUGAUCACAACCCAAAACUCGUUUUUACAAUACUCCCCCUUUUCCUUUCUUUUUGUCACUUGAAAGCUAUAGAGAGGAACAUGAUUCCCCCCUGAGUGGUGACCCCUAUGUAAAUGAAAAACAAGGCCAUAACAAAAAUUUUGAUAUUAAGAAUAUGAAACAUUCUUGUAUUUUUCAGAUGUUCUUCAUAUUACAUGUAUCACUCUGAGUUUAGCAUGAACUGAGAAUACAUGUGACUGCAGAUUUUUUUUUUUUGGGGGGAGGGGGUUGCCAAUUUUGCUUACUUGAAAAUGUACAAUUUUUUUUAUGAUAAUAAAACAAGAUUUUCAACAAGGAAAUGUUUCACAACCUUUUCUGCCAGAACUGCAAUUUUCUUUACAUGUCAAGCUUUGCUCACUUUGCAGCUUGGUGAAAUACCCCUAUCUGAAAAUUGAAUUGAUAAAAGUGAACUCAUCCACUGUCAAAUCAGAGGUAUCUGGUCCCAAAGUUAAAAUUCAUCAAACAUGAGAGCGAGCACAGGCCUAAACUACUAGUUCAUAUAUACAGGACAGAAACUAUGCAACAUACGGUAUGGCAAUACUAUCCUUCAAUAAUGGUGUACAUUUUUAUAGGUUUUUUCUGGCAUGUGGUCAAUUUGAGGUGCCAAUUUUAAAUCAAUUAACAAUUAGUUCCAGCUGAUCAAUUAAUGCAUUGGCAUGUUUGGCAAAUUCAGAUUUGAUAUAUGUAAUGCUCAUUUUAAUUUUGUGCUAUUUUCGCAAGUUUACCAUUUCAAUUGCUUCAUGGGCAUUUUAAAUAAUUGAAGUAGAAUUUUUUUUUUAUCAUGAAGGUAUCAUUCAAAAGAAAUCGCCCAUCCCCUGUAGGGAUAUGUAUUUUGUUUUUUUGUAUGAAUUCAAAUGCUGAAGUCUGGGAAAAAGCAUUUCUAUUAUUUCAUUAUGUUAUUGUCAUGUAGUAAUAUUAACAUUCAUGUGCUCUUUGAAAUUAUUAUUCAUACAUGUGCAGAACUAAAGAUGUGUCCUAAACUUUGUUUUAUUUUUCUAUUAUGUGUAUUCAAGGUAAUCAUUAAGCAUUGAUGGUUUUAAGUUUUCAAAUAUAUUGGUUAGCAACAUAUUAUGUAAAGUGUGUACUAACUAUACCUAGUAGGUAUUAUGUUCAUGUAGACAGACUUCAUCUGUUUUGUAUGAUAUUGGUAGAAAUGUUAAGAGACAAAUAAGAGUUGUUGAACAUAUAUUUCAAUAUAUUUACUUGAAUAAAGUGACCUAUCAUGUAGUUUUUUUUAGUGUGAUAAACCUGUUCACUGAACAAUAAAUUCAACUAUUCUCUUCAAUGGUAUGUAAUGACCAGAUAUACAAUAGAACAAUUUGAACUUUUAAAAUGAAAAUCUAAUUUCUAUUACUUCAUGCCCAAACAGCUUUAUGAAACACCCACCAGGCCACUUAUUUGCUAGACCCAACCAGGUUAUGUGGUGGUGCAUGCAUGGUAAUCAAGGGAGAAAUUUAUCUUACAGGGUAAUCCAGACAUUUUAGUUUCAAUAAAGAGAUGUAUAUUGGUGUAAAAAUUGC